AUACGGAGGAUCCGAGCGUUAUCCGGAUUUAUUGGGUUUAAAGGGUGCGCAGGCGGCCAUUUAAGUCAGCGGUUAAAUCGUGGGGCUCAACCCCAUUCUGCCGUUGAUACUGGGUGGCUUGAUUGCGGUCGAGGUUGGCGGAAUUCGUUGUGUAGCGGUGAAAUGCAUAGAUAUGACGAAGAAUACCGAUUGCGUAGGCAGCUGACCAGACCGCAAAUGACGCUCAUGCACGAAAGUGCGGGGAUCGAACAGGAUUAGAUACCCUGGUAGUCCGCACAGUAAACGAUGAAUACUUGUUUUCGGCGAUAUAAUGUCGGAGGCAAAGCGAAAGCGAUAAGUAUUCCACCUGGGGAGUACGCCGGCAACGGUGAAACUCAAAUGAAUUGACGGG
rnacentral:rRNA from 1 species